AUUGAACGCUGGCGGCAGGCCUAACACAUGCAAGUCGAGCGGAUGACGGGAGCUUGCUCCUUGAUUCAGCGGCGGACGGGUGAGUAAUGCCUAGGAAUCUGCCUGGUAGUGGGGGACAACGUUUCGAAAGGAACGCUAAUACCGCAUACGUCCUACGGGAGAAAGCAGGGGACCUUCGGGCCUUGCGCUAUCAGAUGAGCCUAGGUCGGAUUAGCUAGUAGGUGAGGUAAUGGCUCACCUAGGCGACGAUCCGUAACUGGUCUGAGAGGAUGAUCAGUCACACUGGAACUGAGACACGGUCCAGACUCCUACGGGAGGCAGCAGUGGGGAAUAUUGGACAAUGGGCGAAAGCCUGAUCCAGCCAUGCCGCGUGUGUGAAGAAGGUCUUCGGAUUGUAAAGCACUUUAAGUUGGGAGGAAGGGCAGUAAGUAACUACCUUGCUGUUUUGACGUUACCGACAGAAUAAGCACCGGCUAACUCUGUGCCAGCCGCCGCAGUAAAAC
rnacentral:rRNA from 1 species